ensembl:lncRNA
AGAGACUUCUCAUUUCGCGGUCCUUUGUGCGCACAAAUGGAGAGCGAGCCAGCAGGAGACAACACUAACCAGCGGGUUUACUCACCUUUCCAGACGCAAUUACGCAUUACGCAUUUUCAGUGACACAUAGGUGCCUUGGCUCGGAGAUGUAAAGUCAAGAAAUGGCAGUGUGGAAAAAAUGGGGAAAGAGGAAGCGAGGAUAAAGGAAGAGGUGGUGGUGCUCCUCUCCAGAAGCCGGACAGCCUCUCACCAGUCGGUGCCACCUCCACUGGGACAAAGAGGCAUCUCCCCCGAGGGAUUGUGAUCCAGCUGACUGGGACAGAGGGAGAGUGGGACAGCUUAGACGACAGUGAGCUCAUCUUCUCUAUCGACCACGAUGAGGACUACCCCUCCAUAUCACUCCCUAAGGAGAGGCAGCUCUCCGUCGAGGAUUAUGGAGGACAGCAGUCCCAAGCCUUCCAUGUUCCUCUUUCCCCCUCGUCUCCUGGCUCAUUGGCGAACAUCUCUUCCACGGGCCCCAGCUUCCUCUCCCCUGGCCCUUCCUCACCCACCCACCGGCCCCUGGCAAGCCUUGUCAAGUCUCUUUCCACAGAGCUGGAGCUGAAAGAAAGUUCCACUCUCAGACCCAAACCUUUCCUCAGCCUCGUGAAGUCAAUCUCCACAGAGAUCUCCCGCUCAGAACCAGAGGUGUCACAGUCCAAAUCAGACUCCCGCCUCAACCUCCACCUGUGGAAGCAGCUGACUCAACCAAAAACCCGCAGUAAUGGGGACUCUCGGACUGCUCCCCCAUCCCCCAGCUCACUUUCCCCUAGUGGAGAGGGUCUGAAAGGAGGCUUCUUUAAAAUGGAGCUGGAGGACACCAAGAGGAAGCUCUCGGAGGCGGUGCAUGAACCUCUCAGCAGCAUGUUCAGUAAGAUCAUGAGGGAGGAAAGCGGGGGCAGCCCCAAGCACCAGUGCAAGACUCAGGGGGCUCAUCAGAUCAGCUCCAGGGGUUUGGGACGGGAAGGGAGCACAGACACGGUACUAUCGGACUCUCCUGUGAGAAAUUCUAAGAAAACAGAUGCUGAAGUUUUUUCUGUGUUUGAGUGGCCUUCUGUUAGACAUCUGGGGAGAGUUCAAGGCCACCCCUGCCCUGUGCAUCAUCACAGACAACAUCACGGAGACGAGGACCUGGAAAUAUGUACAGAUGCUGACAUGAUGCAAGUCUUAGCCAUCGCCACUCAAAGGCAGGCGAGGAUGUCACCUCAAGCAGCACCUUUGGUUCGGAGCUCUUCUGUUCCUCAACCCCCUCACCCUCUGCCACGAAUGAGUUUGUUCUGUGUGGCGGUGCUGUCCUAUGGCUACUUCAUUCUGCCUCUCAGUCCAUAUUUCUCCGGCCUGGCACUGGGGUUAGCAUUGGGCUUCUUGCUAGGGCUGUUCCUCAUCAGGAUGGGCACCUCCAGGUCUAACUGUUCAGCCCCUACAUACAGACCAGCACAGACAAUGUUGGGAGAAAGGAUUCUGACAGGUGGAAGUGUCAUCACUGAGCCUGACACUCUCAAGGUAAAUGGAAGAGCCAAUAAGGCGGAAAAUGCCACCUUGUUGUCAGCCCCCCACUCUCGU